rnacentral:rRNA from 1 species
GCCAGCGGCGACAGCAAGUUGAAUGCACCAAUUCCCUUUGGAUCACUGAAGUUAAACAACGUUGCGCGUGGUUAAUUUCCGGAUGGGUGCCCGUCUGGGCAAUCGCAUGCUGCUGGUU